rnacentral:snoRNA from 1 species
UAGUCUCCUGCCUCGCUCAAUCCGUUGCAUCAAUCAGCAGAUUUCGAGCUGGAUACACCGCUCCUCACGGAGUGGCCCGUACGAGACAAGAAGAACCCCCCACUCGACAAUCUUUGAGUACGGAACCGUGCUACUUCCCUGCCGGAACUUCGUAAUUAUUUGUCGAGACAUGC